rnacentral:rRNA from 1 species
UGCAGCCAUGCCGCGUGUAUGAAGAAGGACCUUCGGGUUGUAAAGGUACUUUACAGCAGUGAGGAAGGUGGGGUAUGGUUAAUAGCAUAUUCAUUUGACGUUAGCUGCAGAAGAAGCAACCGGCUAACUCCGUGCCAGCAGCCGCGGUAAUACGGAGGGUGCGAGCGUUAAUCGGAAUUACUGGGCGUAAAGCGCAUGCAGGUGGUUUGUUAAGUCAGAUGUGAAAGCCCGGGGCUCAACCUCGGAAUUGCAUUUGAAACUGGCAAACUAGAGUACUGUAGAGGGGGGUAGGAAUUUCAGGUGUAGCGGUGAAAUGCGUAGAGAUCUGAAGGAAUACCGGUGGCGAAGGCGGCCCCCUGGACAGAUACUGACACUCAGAUACGAAAGCGUGGGGAGCAAACAGGAUUAGAUACCCUGGUAG